UUGCAAAUGGAUGUGCUUGAUGAAACCACACUUAGUGGCAGAGUUGGGAGAGCCCAGAACAAAGGUCCCAUUAGAUCCAGCCAUCUAUCAGAAUCACCAUGUACAAGGAGGAGGAUGGGAUGCAGGGAAUAGUCUGUCUCUUAUUCACAU